rnacentral:sRNA from 1 species
GCCAGGUAUGGUGUUGCAUGCCUGUAAUCCUAGCAGCUCAAGAGGCUGAGGCAGGAGGAUCGCGAGUUUAAAGCCAGCCUCAGUAACUUAGUGAGGUCGUGUCUCUA